AGAGAGAGACAUGCGCGCAUAUCAAUAAGCGGAGGAAAAGAAACUAACUAGGAUUCCCCUAGUAACGGCGAGUGAAGCGGCAAGAGCUCAAAUUUGAAAUCUUAAAGGGUUUCCCUUGACGAAUUGUAGUUUAAAGAAGUGUUUUCUGGUGGAGGUUUUGGUAAAAGUUCUUUGGAAUAGGACAUCAUAGAGGGUGAGAAUCCCGUAUUUGACCAUUAUUUCCAGCUUUGUGAUACACUUUCAAAGAGUCGGAUUGUUUGGGAAUGCAGUCCAAAAUGGGUGGUAAAUUUCAUCUAAAGCUAAAUAUUGGCGAGAGACCGAUAGCGAACAAGUACCGUGAGGGAAAGAUGAAAAGAACUUUGAAAAGAGAGUUAAACAGUACGUGAAAUUGUCAAAAGGGAAGCGUUUGACACCAGUGUUGUUUUCUCGAAAAUCAAUUAAAAAGAGUUAGGAUUUUGUUGUGUAUUGACCUUAUCAGCUUCUGCAUUUCAUUUUCUUGUCUUUUUUAAUGCACUUUUCGUUUAACAAGUCAACAUCAAUUUCUUUUGUUGUAAAAGGGUCAUUGGAAGGUGGCUUUCUUUUCGGAGAAAGUGUUUAUAGCCUUUGGCCUCUGCAAUCGGAGAGAUUGAGGUCUGCAGCGUAGAUCCUUCGGGGUUAGAUACAUUUGUGCUAAGUUAUAGCCUUUCAUAGACAACUUGUUGACUAUGAUCAGUCAUGUAGCUUACUCGCUUAUGCUAUUUUACCUACGCUUAGGAUGUUGAUGUGAUACUGCGAGCA
rnacentral:rRNA from 1 species